UUGCACUCAAUAUUUACUAAACAAUUCGUAACUAGACAAUUUUACCCAAGAAAUAGCCAUCAAUGAUGUCUUGUUUCAACUCUGGCAUUAUAUGGAAUCCCUCAAAAAAAUCACAUUGCAUAUAGUCCACUAAUGAAGAAGCCUUGAAGAGACGAUUGACACCAACGAGUGUGCCAAUGUAACACAGGCCAAGCGAUGUACUCCCAAACGUUUUCCUAUACCCCCUUCCGCCAUUGCAGUGUAGUGCCGCUGCCUCCAAAUUAUUAUUAUGCAAUUAAGCCUCCCGCACACAUUAAGAGCAGGGUGGCAUUUGAGAGGAGACCAGGUAGCUGGAGCAGCCUUAUCACAAAAAGUGGGCUGAAGCAUUUGUUUGAUGUUGGUGAAAGGGAAGGAGAUGAAGAGGGACCAAUUGAAUUGCCUCAGGAUUUCAACCCCUUUGAAGUUCCAGAGGCCACUCCUCUGCAAAUAACAGCCAGCUGUCUUCUUACAGGCUCCAUUGCUUUUCUGCUUUAUAGGUCCUUUAAAAGAAGGGCCAAAAGAGCUAAGGAGAAGAGAUUUCGCUCGUCAGGAGUUGAAGAUGUGAGAAAAGAAGCAAAACUGGAAGCUUUAAAGGCCUUGGAAAAGGCAAAUAGCUUGGCAGAGGAGUUGAAGCCAAAUGGUCCUCCUCCUUCAGCAGUUCAGGCCUUGGUUGGGGCGAUUAUGGCUGGAGCAAUUGCAUAUGUGCUUUAUAAUUUCACUAUUGCUGUAGAAUCAUCGCUAGACAAACAGUUUGUUUCAUCAAAUUACUCGAUUCGCCAAAUCAAAAUAACAACUAGGACAAUUAUUAAUGGUAUGUGUUAUCUGGCGACUUGUGUGUUUGCUGUUAAUUCAAUUGGAUUGACUCUGUACUCGGGUCAGCUAGCAUUGAAAUUUUGGAUGGAUAUAAUUCGUGGUGAAUCAGAUUCAAAGCCUGUCGAAACUGAAAAUAAAGUGAAUGUGGAAGCCAAAGAUGACAGUCUAUAAGUUCUAUCAGGCAGUCGUGAUUAUAGAUCCUAACGAAAUUCUUUUUGCGCUUUGUUUUCCUUUUAAUAUUCUGGAAGGUUUUUGGCUCAUGGGAUUUGGCAUAGGGCUUUGGAAAAUUUUGUCUUCUUCCAUUGAUAGCAGCUGUGGAGUCUACAUUUGAAAAUUAUUUGAUGUUUUUUUUUUUGCAAAUUGCCAUAUGGGCUCUAUGUAAAAUUGAUCUAUUAAAUACUAUAGGUUUAUUUUAUGA